CUUGAUGGAGCCCAGCAUCAGCGGCUUGUCGUCGGGGCGGCCCUGUCCGUAGGUGGCGAGGAGCGCCUGUGCCUC
rfam:Streptomyces griseofuscus strain NG1-7 NG1-17_2_1, whole genome shotgun sequence.